CUGCGCAGGUGCCUGCGCAGGCGCCUCGGCGUCUCCGGGCUCCCCGACCCUGACCCCGCCGGUGCGGCUGAGGGGAGCGCGCGGCGCGUACCGGUACCGGCGCCGCGGCGAGGCCGCGGUCUCCCUCGGCGGAGAGGAAUGCAAGCUUCAAAGAAUAAAAAUACAGAAAAGGCAGAACCAUUCUACAAGCUUUCAGUGCCAAAGCAGAAGACCAGUUCUGAGAUUAUAAAUGAAGCCAGAAAUUUUCUACGAACACUAAGAACUCGGAGACCAUUUACACCUACAGAAGAACAAAGGAGACUUUUUGGAUCUGGAUCCUCACGAGCUCCUCAAAAUAGACCCCCUUCAGUUUUUAGUCUUCAUGCAUCCAGUUUUGAUUUGGCUGAAUCAAGACCAGUGUCUGGUGUUCGUCUUAGCCCACUGAAACAUAAACCAGUACUAGUCAAUUCUGCAAAAGAUGAAGAUUCUUCCAUUUCCUUUCCAAAAGCUCUUGCUGAUGCUUCAGAGAUCAGAAAAGUCAGCAAUGCUCGGGCACGCUUAUUUAGAAGAACUUCUUGGGGAAAUUUCCUUUCUGCCAAAACGGUGCCUCCUGAGCAGAAGGAAGAGAAGCUAGAUUCUGAACAACCAGCUAUGAGGAAUAAUCUUUGCAGGAGUAAUAAUGACUGCUUAGCAGAGCAAAGGUCAUACACACCAUGGAAUGGUGAAAGCAGACAAUUAAUUUGUAAUGAGCAGAUCAGUGGAUUGGAGAGCGGAGACUUCGUACAAGGGACAGCAGGAAAACCUUCGUUUCAAACGAGAGGAGAAAGAAGUGUCAACAGUGAUGGCAGAUUUGCUGAUGAAGAGCAACAGUUUCCCUGUGAGCAGAUGAAAAAGCCAGGCACAAGUCCAUUAUGGCCAAGAAGUACAGGCUGGAAGGGAAGAGAAACAGGCUUACAGGUUGAAACACGAAUAAAUGAAUCAGAAGAGGAAGAAAUCUUUUGGCAUAUGAAGGUUCUACCAAUUCUGCAUGAACUGGAAAAAGAAGACAAUGUAGAAAAUCUUUGUCUGGCUUGCACCAAGCUCUAUCAAGCCCUGAAUGAAGAAAAUAUGCUUGGAAAAAAAUUUAAAAGAAGAAGUGUGCUUCUGAAGACAUUAUAUAAACUUGUAGACAUUGAUUCAGACCCACUUUGCCUAAAGUUGACAAAGAUUAUUCUGUCUAUGAAAGUGGAUGGAAGAAAUCUUCUCAGUGUUUGCAAGCUUGCAUUUAAAAUUUGCAGGAAUGAAAAAAAUGAUUACAUCAUUCAAAAUGACGGUUUAUUGGAUUGUUUGUUGGAGGUCCUAAGAACUGAAGAUCUACAAAAAAAUAAUGAAGCUCUCUUGUAUUGCAUGGGAGCUAUAAAAUUCAUGUCUGGAAAUGCAGUACUCCUUAAUGAAAUGGUGAAAAAAGGAGCUGUUGAAAUGUUGCUGCAAUUACUGAAGCAGAUUAAUAAUGUAAAAGAAAAUGACACAUAUUUCUCCAACUUGGGGCACCUAUUAGUCCAGCUGGCAGCUACCUUGCGAAGCUUGGCUGACUUGGCUCCGGCGAGACGCCAGCUCAUUCGCAGCGGUGCAGUCUCUGAGCUCUGUGUGGCGCUAGAGCAGCGCAUGAGGGAUAAGGAUGUGUGCACCUAUGUUAUCAGGAUAUUCAGCAAACUUUCUUCCUACAAUGACUUCUGCACAGCUUUAGCAGACUGCUCCAGAUGUUACAUCUUAUUUUUAGCCCUACUAAACAAACACCAGAAACAGCAGGAUUUGGUCAUCCGUAUUCUCUUCAUUCUUGGCAAUUUAACAGCAAAGAAUGACCAGGCUCGUGAGCAAUUUUUUCAAGAAAAAGGAAGCAUGGACACCUUGAAAUCAUUAUUCCAAACCUACCAUGAACUCGAUUUGAAUGCACAGAAAUGGCACAAAGAAAGAGGACGAGAAGAAAAAAAACACCUAAAGCAUCCUUCAGAAGCAGAAGAUGUUCUGAUAAAACUGAUAAGAGUGCUGGCCAAUCUCUCCGUUCAUCCCAGCAUAGGAGCAGCUCUGGCAGCUGCCCAUCAUGUUGUAGAAUUGCUUGUUACAGUACUAGAAUACAAGUCAGUUGAUGAGUGUGAGGAGUUGGUCAUCAGUGCUGCAACAACAAUCAACAAUUUAUCCUACUACAAAGUGAAGAGUUCUGCUGUUCAAGACAAAAAGCUACACAUUGCUGAAAUGCUUUUAAAGCUGUUAAUGAGCAACAGUAUGGAUGGAGUUGUGGAGGCUGUCAGAGCAUUUGGCAAUCUUUCCCAGUAUCAUGAGAUCUGUGACUUCAUCAUACAGAAAAAGAUACACAAGUUCAUGAUUGCUUUGCUUGAUGCCAAAAACCAAGAUGUCUGUUUUUCUGCCUGUGGAGUUCUGCUCAACCUCACAGUAGAUAAGAACAAACGAGCAUUUCUGAUGGAGGAAGGAGGAAUUGGAAAGUUAGUUGACUGUUUACAAGACUUUGGGCCAUCAGACUGGCAGCUGGCUUGUUUGAUAUGCAAAACCCUGUGGAACUACAGUGGAAACAUCACAAGUGCGGCCUCAUGCUUUGGAGAAGAUACCGAGACGUUGCUGGUGCUGCUCUCAUCACUCUUAGAUGCAGAACUAGCGCUGGAUUACAGCCUCGACAGAGAUGUACGGGACUACCACAAACUGUAUUGGGAAAGGGAGUUCAAGCCUGUGGCAGAAAAACUUCUUGACAGAAUUGAAAACCAUCACUCCUUCCAGCUGUGACUAUUACUCCAUUUUAAUCAGUCAUAUUUUUUUGGUGCUAUAGAUUGACCAGCUUUAUAUUUCUAAUAUACCUGUAUGUUGCCAUUGGUAAGCGUGUUGGACAGCGUGGCAAUUUAAUUUUUAAGAAGUCAGUAAAGCCUGGCAUUCAAAUACUGGAUCUUACCUUUUGAGAAACUUGCAUCAAAUUUUUGCAUGCGUUAUUACUUUUUACACGUUAUUUGAGCUGCUGAAGCAGCUGUUCAAUGUGAUUUGUCUAUUAACUGCGUAGUUGCUUGGCUGGGAAAAUGAAACAAAACUAUUUGCUGAACUUUUCAUUUUUGAAAGGUAAAUUACCACUGAGUGGUACCAGUGGGCCUCUGUGGUACCAAAAAUGCUGUGCACUGUAAAAGCGUGUUACGUGAUUGGAAUCACAUCUUGCCUACAGGCUUUGACACACUUUUACUUUCUGUUAAAUUCUCCAGCAGGAGUAACCCAAAUGCUGUUGGGGCUUUCUGCACUUAUAUCCUGAGCUUUACGUUUCAGAUCAAGUGCUGUCCAUGGCCGGGGGAAAGCUGCUUCCCUUUCCUUCGUAAAUACCCCUUUCUCUACCUAAUGUGUGGCUCGGGUAUCCUAGCUCCUGCCUUGUGGGAUGUAGGUCCAGCUGUGCUGGAAAGAGGCUUUUCUGACUUGGGACUUCAAGUCUUUAGGAAAAACACCCCUAUCUCUGAUGUAAGAGGAGAUUUUAGGUAGUCUGGUGUGUUGUUCUUUCAGCUGUUCCCACGUUCCCAGGAGCUGCCUGAGUGCCUGUACUGUUCAGAUUGUCUUGGCCAGCCGUCUCCCCUGGGCUCAUGUCUUCAUCCACAGGGCACAAAAAAGGCUUUGUAUCCUUCACAUUUCCUUCUCAUUGAUGCUGUCUUAUUACUCAGGUUUCGUCCUUUCAGAGUGUAGAAGUCCCUGCUUGUCGCUCAUGGAUAACUCAGCAGGUGCAUCACUGGCCUCAAGCAUUAACAGCCCGACUGGCUACAGAAAGCUUCACAGACCUGACCUGUUUGCCUCUUUUCUGACCUCAGAUCACUAAGAAUAAACCACUGCGCAGGGGCUGCUGGGCUCCUGGCUCUGAUCCUGAGGGUCAGCAGCCUUGUGUUGUGCUGUGUGCAUCAGGAGAGCAAGUCUUCCCCUGCAAUCCCUGCAGAGAGCCUGGAGGAAUUGGUUUAAGGCAGCGAUUCGGAGCUCCCUCAGUGGCACCGCUGUACCUUUGGCAUUACCUGGACCUCUGCUUCCAGGUGAGGAGAUGACGCGAGGAGGCUGGGAAGCAGAGCUGUAGUAGAAGGGGAGGGAAACUUUCUUCCUAGUUUAGGGCCCUCCUUCUACAUUCUCAGGGACUUUUUUGCUGUUGGUGAGAUAGGGGAGGGGAGAUUUCACGGUCCUGGUUUUGGGAGUGGUGCACAGGCUCUGCCAGAGCUGCUUGGUAGUCAUCAGGGCUUACAGCCUGCAAGUGAGGGCAGCUCACACCAGUGGCCAAGGCAGUGUGGCUUCUCCCUCGUGCCCUGCUGUUGUACACUGCUGUUGCUCUCUGCAGUGAUCGCCAUUCAUGAAGCAUCCAGCAACUCAACCCUUUCUUGUUUAAAGACUAACCCCACUGUCUUUGGUUGCCACUGUACUUAACAGCUUUGGCUUGGUCUCUUUUGCUUAGCACCACAAAUGCCUCAGCAUGGAAAAUGUUCAACCAUCUUCAGGCCCUUUCUCCAAAAAUGUCACACAAUUUCAGUAAGAACAGACUGGAUGUGUAUGAGCAGAACUCUUGCAGAAGAAUGGAAGUCUCCGUGUUUCCCUGGACUACCUCUAUUAAAAGCCUUUGAUACAGCUCA